GCCUUUCAAUUGGCCGAUUGGUGAACACUCAUGUUUAUUAUUUCAAAGGUCACGGGUUCGUUCCCCACUAGGUGUUAAUUUUUU
ensembl:ncRNA F09E10.13 ncRNA